rnacentral:lncRNA from 1 species
UUGAUCUCACAAGAAGGAGCUAACCCCUUAGCUAUGAGGUCUUUACUCUUUUUCCCUUAUCAAAGUUUUGUCCCAAUGGGUUUUGUUUGGUAAGGUUUUUAAUGAGGAAGAUCUCAUGGCUAUCCAAGCUUAGACUUUCACAAAGCUAAGCUUGAGGGGGAGUGUUGAGAUGAGUUGAGUAUAUGUGGAGCAAGUGAGGAGUUGAGACUAAGG